CCAAACUUAGGCUGGGCUCCAUUUUUUGCCACGCAUGUGAAGAACGCUGUUAUUAGAUGAACACAAUAAAAGGAAAACCACGCUUUCCUGGUCUCGGUAGAUAAUACUCAUUGGAGAAGAAAGCUGGAAGCAAACCAGAUAAAAACACAAACGACACGAUGAUCUGACACUCCUGUGGCUUUACGUAACGCUGUCUAUUAUUUGUGUAUCCUCUGUUUACAGGGAGUGUGAGCAGUCCCACCCUUGCUCAGGCCAGCCUGGCUUCCUCUGCUCCCCAAAGCUCGGUAGCAUCGCUGGGGAGUUACGUUUUUGCUAUGAAAUAAGAGUCAGCCUCUCUAGAGUUAUUUAUUACUUCUCUCAUCAAUUCACAAAACGUGUCCCUUCUCAAGGGAUGGAAUUUGAAGACUGCUUUGUAUUUUUAGAUGAUUGUGCCGGGCCUUUAAUUAUUUUGAAGUCUGGCUCUCAGUAGACAUCAAUGGGGAGGGAACUCUGCCUACAAUGCUAAUGGCCACAGCACUGUCUGAAAUUCUCACUCUUGAUCGUAUGCGGCUUCAGAACGAUUUCACAGUGUUUUAGAAGGCAGAAUUUCUUGUUAUUUGAAUGUGCUCUUAUUAACCAUGCAUGGAUUGAUUUCCCGUUACGAUUGUGGUCAGUGACUUUGGAAAAAAGGGAGGGUUUGGGACCUUGAUUUUCACCAUUACUGUACUUUUCAUUGAAGCUGGAGCUGUCACUGGGGUGAGGAUUUUUGCCUAUCCCGAAGCAAUUGACUGGAGCCACCUCACACACGCUUGGUUUGGAACCAAAAGAUGCCAUGUUUUGUACCUUCUGUAGGUCUAUGCUACUGAAAGCUUGGAGCUUUUCCCUGGACCUGCAAUAAAAUAUCUCCAGGUUGAAUUGCAGUUAUCAUUGGCCACUCCGGAAGACGUGAUUUGUUAAGUCCCAGUUAACCAAAAUACGUGCUUAACUUUAAAUGCAGUCUAGCAAGUCACUUAAGGAUAUGCUGAACCGAGUGGGGCUUCUGUAUCCAGUGAAGCGUGGGGUGAGUGCUUGGGUGGAUUAGGGCCUCAGUUCUCAUCUUUUCAUUUUAGCUUAUACUUGUUCAAGCUAGGUGUGUCUUGGAGUAAACCCAGCAAAGCACAUGCCUGGACAUAUGAUACUGUCUUUCAGCUCUUACAGCUGAAAAUUUAGGAAGAGUUCAUGGUCUGAUGGCAUUCCUGUACCAUCGCUCAGGCCUGAUGGCUUGCUUCUUUGUUUUUAGUUUUUCCUGCUGCGUUCAGGAGAACAGGUUUUUCAGGCUUCCUCAGGUCAGGGAUGCACACCCUGUGCUACCAGGAAGAGACCUUUCAAUGAAUGCUGGAUCAAACGCUUCAAAUCUCUUUUAAAGAGAAAUCCUCCUGUAAGUAGAAACUCAUUGAUUCCAUUGGUCUUCAGCAUCCUUCCUUUCUGGUUUGCUCUCUGCAGCUCUGCUUCUAUCCUGGAGUUGUUCUCGUUCCUUGGGGUCUUCUUUUUUCACUUGGUUGUAGGAAUACAAAUUGGAAACAAGCCCAUAAAAACAGCAGAAUCGUGAGGGUUUUAAACCAUAAGAGAUGAGGAGAGGAUGGGGUCUCUGUGCAGUGGGAGCAGCAGGCAGAUGGGAUUUGCAGGUAGUGAGGAGUUAGAAAGAGUGGUCAACCUUCCUCUGGGCCUUACUGUCCGUAUUGCUUUGCUAAAUAAAAUGGUUCCGUGCAGUCCUGUUGCUAACCUUCUGUACGUUCAGUCUUGCUAAACUCAAGUGGCAUUACCGACAGAGCAAAAGGAGGAGGUGGCAGCUCUACUGGGGCAGAUGUCAGCAGUGCCAGUGCUGCUGUGCACUUCUAUGGAUUUCUUCUUGCCAAAGCUCAGAACAGAAUCGGUACAUAUGCUGACCAGGAUGAGGAUAAUUUCAUGCCCGUAGCCUGGUGUGUUUGGUACAGACAGCACAUGCUGGAGUAAUACCAGCGUAGCUAAAAUAAUGGCUUCAUAUUUAAGAGGGCUGCUCUGAAAGUAAUGCCUCCAGUUCCAUGAUGUUGGCCCGUGCCAUCAGAGGCGGGUGUCGGUAUGGCAGGAGAGGUUGAACCUUCCACCAAUAUCCCGUUAAUUCUGCUGCUGUGUGACAGAUGGCAGCAGAGGGGCAGCCUGACAAAUGACGUCUGACAUGGAAGUGCAGACGAAGCAAAGCUGUGGAAUGGAAUUCCUCCAUGUGGAAAAAAAUGGCCCCCAUUGGCAUUCAGUGAUGCUUGCUGAACGUUUAUGGAGACUCAGCAGUGGAUGUGAGCACAGUGAGGAGUGGGCGGUGCGUUUCAGCUAUGAUCACAGUGGUCACCUCUGCUGGCGAUGAGAUGUUGAUGAGCAUGGCAUGCAGAUUCUUGCUCAUCGCUAGCAAAUAUGCCCUGCAAAUGGUGGUGCCCUUGUUCAAAAAACAGUAUUUAGAAGUUGAGAAUUUUCUCCAUCAGAUAGUGCGCAUCUGUUGUAGUUUCCAUGGGAAUAAAUAGGAGGGAUUACUUUCAGAGCAGCCUUUGUAUUCUGAAAUAACUUUUCUGCCCUGCCCAGCAUCACACAGACCUGUGCUGUAGGAGCUGCCUGAGGUGGGAGGUUGGCAGCUGCCCAUCACCUGGUUCUUGGCCUUGGAGACUCCAUUUCCUCCUGGCCCCGUCUGCUGGUCCUUCUUGGUGUAUGCUGAAAGAAAGUCUGUACUUAAACUUGAAGCUUGGUAGCAAAUUGAGAAAUGCAUCUUUUGCAUUUUAAUAGCAAGGAGUGAUGACUUUUGGCCAAAAAAAAAAAAAAAAAAGGCCGGGAUAGGCCUUAUUUAUGAAAUACUCCCAAGAAUUUUCUCCAGUCUCUUUUUUCACGGGGUUAAUAAGUUCUCUGCUAUCGCAGUUCAGUUGUUAGAGCCUCAGCGAGAGAAGGACUAGGCUCGUUUUUAUUUAGUUAUGGGGAAUGUCAUCGAAAAGGUAAGGUGUGUUUGGGUGGGAAGGAAUGAACCUCGAAGCCAUCAGGGCCAUUUUGAGGGCCCUUUCUUGGAUACUGCUUUCAGACGUGGUCAGUCUGAGGCCGGUUGGCCCUUUCAGUGCAGGAGAUCAGUCCCACAGCUCCCGGGCACCACCGGCAAGGCCAAAUGUUGACGUGUUCCUUAAAGAAGGGAGGCAUGACAUGACCCCAGGAGGCUGGAGCACGGCGUGUUGGCUGUGCUGUUGGGAGGGAGGGAGGAGGUGGGCGAUGGGUGGGGAAGGCAGACAAAAAAAAUCCCCAAAAUUGGUACAUUUGGAGUAUUAUUUUGAAGCUGCAGUGUGAGGUUGUCUGAAAUGCUGGAUUCACAGCUGUUCGAUGGUUGGUUUGAGUCCAUCCGCUCAUAGAUUCUGACUGAUGAAACUGCAGGCUGUGAUAUCCGGCAGUUAUAACUUUAUCACUAUUCACUACCCAAGAAUAUUACGGCUUUAAAACAGCCUUAAGCAAAAGGAUGUGAUUUCUUUAUACCGAAUUUGGAUCAUGGAAAAGGAGAAAAAAAAAACAAAAAACAAAAAACCCAACCAUAAAUAAAAAUCAAAACACUGGUAAUCCGUACUGCAUAGCAAACUCUUCUGAAAGAUGUUAUUGCACAUGUAAAAUAUGGAAACUUGACUCUGCUGUGUGUUAGGCAAUCCUGUACUCUUUUUUUUUCCUUCCUCCUUGUUUUUUUUUUUUUUUUGUUUUGGGAUUCUUGUUAAAAUUCAUUUUCUUAAAUGCUUGGUUGGAAGACUGUGACAAUAGCUCAUGAAAUUGAGUGUUAUUUUUCUUUCUUUUUUUUUUUAAUAUGUAAAGUGCAGUCUUCUGUAUUCAUGCAUAUUGUACAUAUCUGUAUAUGUUUUACUGAGCAACUAAAUAACAAUAAAUAUGAUGUUAAUGGUGGCUAUUGUAUAUGUCACGCCAUGUUCUUUGAUUCUUGCAGCAGGUCCUUUUUCCCCUAGGAUGUGAAGAAUGUGAAGAAGGUGCUGUUCCCAUGUAGGUAAACCCUGGGCCUCGUGAUGGUCGGGACAAAUCUCAGCAGAAUGUGGGAGAUCCUCUCUAACCAUUGGCUUCCCUCAGCGGUACGGCUUCACCCAGAGCCAGGUUACUGCAGCAAGGUGUGGUCGUCUUAGUUGUGGAACAGUUUGGGUUGGAAGGGACCAUUAAGACCAUCCAGUUCCAACCCCCUGCUGUAGGCAGGGACAUCUCCCACUAGACCAGGUUGCUCACAGCCCCAUCCAGCCUUGUACCUCCAGGGAGGGGGCAUCCCUUGCCCAAGUGUUCGCUAGGCUUUGCUGGCUCAGUUUCUGCAUGUAUUGAAGCUUCUUCCUUCCCUGUGUCAGCCGGGAGCUGAAUCCUUAACAGAACUUCUCCAGGCAAGAUUUUGAGCUAAAUUCUGUGAGUAAAAAACAAACAGGGAAGAUCCCUUCAUCUCUGUUAUUCAAAUUUCGGACUCUUAAUCCUUUCGUAUCCUAACAUCAGAACACGGUUCUGAACCCAGGGAACGGCCUUGCUUAUCUUUCUCAGAG
rnacentral:lncRNA from 1 species